CAGGCUUAACACAUGCAAGUCGAGGGGCAGCAUGGUCUUAGCUUGCUAAGGCCGAUGGCGACCGGCGCACGGGUGAGUAACGCGUAUCCAACCUGCCUUACACUCUUGGACAGCCUUCUGAAAGGGAGAUUAAUACAAGAUGUUAUCAUGAGUAAGCAUUUUCACAUGAUUAAAGGUUUACCGGUGUAAGAUGGGGAUGCGUUCCAUUAGAUAGUAGGCGGGGUAACGGCCCACCUAGUCUUCGAUGGAUAGGGGUUCUGAGAGGAAGGUCUCCCACAUUGGAACUGAGACACGGUCCAAACUCCUACGGGAGGCAGCAGUGAGGAAUAUUGGUCAAUGGACGAGAGUCUGAACCAGCCAAGUAGCGUGAAGGAUGAAGGUUCUAUGGAUUGUAAACUUCUUUUAUACGGGAAUAAACGGAUCCACGUGUGGAUUUUUGCAUGUACCGUAUGAAUAAGGAUCGGCUAACUCCGUGCCAGCAGCCGCGGUAAUACGGAGGAUCCGAGCGUUAUCCGGAUUUAUUGGGUUUAAAGGGAGCGUAGAUGGGUUGUUAAGUCAGUUGUGAAAGUUUGCGGCUCAACCGUAAAAUUGCAAUUGAUACUGGCAGUCUUGAGUACAGUUGAGGUAGGCGGAAUUCGUGGUGUAGCGGUGAAAUGCUUAGAUAUCACGAAGAACUCCGAUUGCGAAGGCAGCUUACUAACCUGUAACUGACAUUGAUGCUCGAAAGUGUGGGUAUCAAACAGGAUUAGAUACCCUGGUAGUCCACACGGUAAACGAUGAAUACUCGCUGUAGGCGAUAUACAGUCUGCGGCCAAGCGAAAGCAUUAAGUAUUCCACCUGGGGAGUACGCCGGCAACGGUGAAACUCAAAGGAAUUGACGGGGGCCCGCACAAGCGGAGGAACAUGUGGUUUAAUUCGAUGAUACGCGAGGAACCUUACCCGGGCUUAAAUUGCAACCGAAUAUGGCGGAAACGCUAUAGCUAGCAAUAGCGGUUGUGAAGGUGCUGCAUGGUUGUCGUCAGCUCGUGCCGUGAGGUGUCGGCUUAAGUGCCAUAACGAGCGCAACCCUUGCCGAUAGUUACUAACAGGUCAUGCUGAGGACUCUGUCGGGACUGCCAUCGUAAGAUGUGAGGAAGGUGGGGAUGACGUCAAAUCAGCACGGCCCUUACGUCCGGGGCUACACACGUGUUACAAUGGGGGGUACAGAGGGCUGCUACCACGCAAGUGGAUGCCAAUCCCAAAAACCUCUCUCAGUUCGGAUUGAAGUCUGCAACCCGACUUCAUGAAGCUGGAUUCGCUAGUAAUCGCGCAUCAGCCACGGCGCGGUGAAUACGUUCCCGGGCCUUGUACACACCGCCCGUCAAGCCAUGGGAGCCGGGGGUACCUGAAGUGCGUAACCGCAAGGAGCGCCCUAGGGUAAAACUGGUGACUGGGGC
rnacentral:rRNA from 1 species